rnacentral:rRNA from 1 species
AAACCGUUCAGGGGUAAACCUGAGAAACCCAAAAGAUCGAAUGGGGAGAUUCAUCGUCAACGAGGCUGGCCUCGCGGCGGUUCGCGAUGUUAACGGCUUCGGCUGUUUGGCACGCGUCUGUUGCGCAACGCUCGGUCACGUCGGCGUGCACUUCUCCCCUAGUAGAACGUCGCGACCCGUUGAGUGUCGAUCUAUGGCCCCGGUGGUUGUCUGUUCUCGUCCCUCACGGGACGGGUCAAGCCCCGGGAUGCCCGACCGACUGCUCGGCGGUACACGCACGGUACAGGGUCGCAGUUUUCGACUGCGUCGGACCCGCUGCAAGCGCGGUCAGUCCUCGGAUGUACGGACCUAGUGCCGUCUCUGAGCCUGGCCUGCUGUUGGCUGGCGGUGUUCUCUGACUGGCCCACGCUUUAAUUAGUGAUUACCGGUCGGCGACGCUACUGCUUUGGGUACUUUCAGGA